UCCAACUUCCACAGCCAUCUCUGCCUCGAGAAACAAACUUGCGUGAAAUCCACCGUGAAAUCCUCUAUCUCUGCAGUCCCCCUCCCCUCACAUCCGCUCAAUUGAUAUAACGAUGGGUUGAAAUGCCAAUCCGGGACGACUUGUUGCCCAUGCGCCCAUAGAUUCCCGAAGGUCCAUGGCUGCAGCUUUCAUUUCAAAUCGCCGGUCGCGAAAAAAUUCACUGGUCUCGAAUACUAAAAAUUAUAAAAGAGUUAAGCCUAAGUGAAUGAUCUGAAAUCAACGAGCAUGAACCAAACAUCUAUUCAAAAGAACAAAUCGCAGCAACCCUGAGAUUGCUCAUCUGGUGAAUGCGGUGGAGGUCACAAGGGUCGAGACAAUGACAAUUGGUGAAAUCUAUGCUUACAUGAAGCAGGAAUCCGCCAAGGAGGCGCUUUUUGACUGCUAGCAACAAUUGCUGAAUCAUGCAAGGUUCAUGCAAGAAGGACAAGAGUCAGGGGAAGUAUCGCUUAUCGCCAAGGCAGACACAUGAUGAUGAUAGAUUUAGAUAGAAGGAUGGAGUUGCUUAGUUACGUAACAGCAGGUUUUGAUUGUAUUAAUUAUGUAACUUUCAAAUUUACUCUCAUCAUAUUUAAAUGGCUCUUUCCUUGCAUUCAUCAUCCCUUUAUGUUAGGCUUCAGGCACUUAAAUCACACAGACACAGCUAGGCUCUGCGGUCUCAGUAGCAUUGGGGUUGGUAUUUUCAUAGUUUGUGAUCGAGUACUCUCCGCAGGUCAGUCUCCCUUCACUACUCUUUGGUACGAAUACGAUCCAUUACAUUACGUAGAAAGCCGCAUUGGCUCUCAGUGUCUCAUCGAUCCCAAUAACCUUGGACUUGAAAAAGAACAACAAAUUCAAGAAAUAAGGAGGAACAGAAGUUGUGUCAUGCUCUUUUGGCUGUUAAUCGUUUCAUGAAUAUGGCGUGCGAGCAAGAGAAUUCUCGCUAAUUGUAUGCUUAUGUGCUUUGCAUCGUCCAGCAACGUGGCCACUGCACAAGUCAUUGAUUUCCAUUGUUUGGACUUGACAUAACUUCAGAGAGAAAGGAAAAGAGAAUUAUUUCAAGAAAAAAGAGAAUUAUUUCAAUUAUGGCAAUUCUCUUAUGGUAGGAGAUAGGAAAAGAUAAUUAUUUGAAUUAUGGCAAUUCUUUUAAAUAGUAGGUUUUAGUUUUUAUAACAAAAAGAAUCAUUAAGUAGGAAAAUGAUUAAAUUUUAUAUAUAUAUAUAUAUAUCUACAUGAGGCUGCAAGCAACUUGGUUUUGAGUUGGAAAACACCUUAGCA